GGGGCAAGCGUCGGGCUAAUACAUGCAAGUCGGACGGGAUCCAUCGGAGAGCUUGCUCGAAGAUGGUGAGAGUGGCGCACGGGUGCGUAACGCGUGAGCAACCUACCUCUAUCAGGGGGAUAGCCUCUCGAAAGAGAGAUUAACACCGCAUAACAUCAACAGUUCGCAUGUUCGGUUGAUUAAAUAUUUAUAGGAUAGAGAUGGGCUCGCGUGACAUUAGCUAGUUGGUAGGGUAACGGCCUACCAAGGCGACGAUGUCUAGGGGCUCUGAGAGGAGAAUCCCCCACACUGGUACUGAGACACGGACCAGACUCCUACGGGAGGCAGCAGUAAGGAAUAUUGGUCAAUGGGCGGAAGCCUGAACCAGCCAUGCCGCGUGCAGGAUGACUGCCCUAUGGGUUGUAAACUGCUUUUGUCCAGGAAUAAACCUAAAUACGUGUAUUUAGCUGAAUGUACUGGAAGAAUAAGGAUCGGCUAACUCCGUGCCAGCAGCCGCGGUAAUACGGAGGAUCCGAGCGUUAUCCGGAUUUAUUGGGUUUAAAGGGUGCGUAGGCGGCCUAUUAAGUCAGGGGUGAAAUACGGUGGCUCAACCAUCGCAGUGCCUUUGAUACUGAUGGGCUUGAAUCCAUUUGAAGUGGGCGGAAUAAGACAAGUAGCGGUGAAAUGCAUAGAUAUGUCUUAGAACUCCGAUUGCGAAGGCAGCUCACUAAGCUGGUAUUGACGCUGAUGCACGAAAGCGUGGGGAUCGAACAGGAUUAGAUACCCUGGUAGUCCACGCCCUAAACGAUGAUAACUCGAUG
rnacentral:rRNA from 1 species